GAUGAAGAACUUAGCGAAAUGCGAUAAGUAAUGUGAAUUGCAGAAUUCAGUGAAUCAUCGAAUCUUUGAACGCACCUUGCACCCUUUGGCAUUCCGAAGGGUAUGCUCGUUUGAGUGUCAUUGUACUCUCACUCUCCCGAUGCUUUUGGAUCGGGAGUGGUGGACUUGGGUGUUGCUGCUUUGCUGUGGCUCGCCUCAAAUGGAGUAGUGCAACUCUUGGUUGGACAUAGUACGGCGUGAUAAGUGUCUUCGCCGGCGCCUCAUUAUAGAGGGUGGCCGAUCGGGAGCUCUGUGCUUCAAACCGUCUUCGGACAACAUCUGACAACUUGACCUCAAAUCGAGUAGGACUACCCGCUGAACUUAAGCAUAUCAAUAAGCGGAGGA
rnacentral:misc_RNA from 1 species